GGAGAGACAUUUUCGCCAGGGUUGCCAUGUCUGUAGUUUUCCUGUCAAAACAGGCUCGGAUGUCAUGGGUGAAAUAUAUAGAGUACCACAGCUUGAGUCAUAAACCUAGCGGUCAAAUAAUGUCAGUUUCUAUAGUUUUCUCCGUUUGCUACUUGAGCCGUCUCUCUCCCUGUCCUCCUGCAGGCACUUCCCACAACAAGCUCUGCCCCCUGUCACUCAAGGAGAGACAUUUUCGCCAGGGUUGCCAUGUCUGUUGUUUUCCUGUCAAAACAGGCUCCGAUGUCAUGGGUGAAAUAUAUAGAGCACCACAGCUUGAGUCAUAAUACCCAUAAAACCUAGCGGUCAAAGCCAGAAAUAGUUUUUCCACCAUUCAUUUUUCCCCAUAGGGGAUUUAAAAACACUUCAAAUGAGGGCUGUGUUUUGUGUUUAUCCUGGCGUUUUGAUAACCGUGUAGAUCUCUCUAGGACAAAGGUGACUUUUAUCAAUGCUAAUUAGCUGCUAAUGUGGCUAUCAUACGGAACAAGCUAGCUCACUCAUCAGAACCAGGAUGAUGACACUGCCGAAUCGAAGGUAACAAUCUCUGAAACAACUAUAUUAUUUUAGCUACAUUUUGUAAUAAAUCACAAAAAAAAAAAAUCACAAAAAAAAAUAUACAUAUAUAUACAUUGACAGUGAACUGUCUUGGGAAAGUUUAAAAUGUACACAAUACCUGUUAUCUAGUGUAACAGUAUAGACUUUACGUCCGUCCCCUCGCCCCGACCUGGGCGCAAACCAGGGACGCUCUGCACAUGUCAACAGCCACCCUUGAAGCAUCUUACCCAUCGCUCCACAAAAGCUGCGGGAACUACUACUUCAAGGUCUCAGAGCAAGUGACGUCACCGAUUUGAAACGCCACUAGCGCGCACCACUGCUAACUAGCUAGCCAUUUCACAUCGGCUACACUAGCUCAUGGUUAGCAACUUUAGACUGGCUAGAUGACCCGGAGUACGACUGGACAGGGGCCGGAUAUUAUUAUAAUGAUCUAAUAGAGGUGCAGAAGCACCCCAUGUUAUGUUAAUCCCACAGCCAACCAUCCCUCUAGACAGAAGCACACCCACACCCCAUGUUAUGUUAAUCCCACAGCCAACCAUCCCUCUAGGCAGAAGCACACCCACACCCACACCCCAUGUUAUGUUAAUCCCACGGCCAACCAUCCCUCUAGACAGAAGCACACCCACACCCCAUGUUAAUCCCACAGCCAACCAUCCCUCUAGACAGAAGCACACCCACACCCACACCCCAUGUUAAUCCCACGGCCAACCAUCCCUCUAGGCAGAAGCACACCCACACCCCACCCCAUGUUAUGUUAAUUCCACAGCCAACCAUCCCUCUAGGCAGAAGCACACCUACACCCACACCCCAUGUUAUGUUAAUUCCACAGCCAACCAUCCCUCUAGGCAGAAGCAACCAUGUUAUGUUAAUUCCACAGCCAACCAUCCCUCUAGGCAGAAGCACACCCACACCCCAUGUUAUGUUAAUCCCACGGCCAACCAUCCCUCUAGUUACCCCUUAUUCCACACUAAGCCUUUUAUGCCCCGUGGUCCCUCAACUGCAGUCACUGUGGAACUCUCCAUCUUGUCUUCAUGAAGCCACCCUACCUUCCUCUAUGCUGCUUCCUUCGCUUGUUCUUCUCCUGAUGUGAUAACAUCUUGACUCAGUAACACGUUAAAAAUCAAUCAAAUGUAUUUAUAAAGCCCUGAUCAGCUUACAUCAGCUGAUGUCACAAAGUGCUGUACAGAAACCCAGCCUAAAACCCCAAACAGCAAGCAAUGCAGGUGUAGAAGCACGGUGGCUAGGAAAAACUCCCCAGAAAGACAGAAACCUAGGAAGAAACCUGGAGAGGAACAGUGUUGCUGUGUACUGUUUUU
ensembl:lncRNA